AGAGUUUGAUCCUGGCUCAGGAUGAACGCUAGCUACAGGCUUAACACAUGCAAGUCGAGGGGAAACGACAUCGAAAGCUUGCUUUUGAUGGGCGUCGACCGGCGCACGGGUGAGUAACGCGUAUCCAACCUGCCCACCACUUGGGGAUAACCUUGCGAAAGUAAGACUAAUACCCAAUGAUAUCUCUAGAAGACAUCUGAAAGAGAUUAAAGAUUUAUCGGUGAUGGAUGGGGAUGCGUCUGAUUAGCUUGUUGGCGGGGUAACGGCCCACCAAGGCAACGAUCAGUAGGGGUUCUGAGAGGAAGGUCCCCCACAUUGGAACUGAGACACGGUCCAAACUCCUACGGGAGGCAGCAGUGAGGAAUAUUGGUCAAUGGGCGAGAGCCUGAACCAGCCAAGUAGCGUGCAGGAAGACGGCCCUAUGGGUUGUAAACUGCUUUUAUAAGGGAAUAAAGUGAGUCUCGUGAGACUUUUUGCAUGUACCUUAUGAAUAAGGACCGGCUAAUUCCGUGCCAGCAGCCGCGGUAAUACGGAAGGUCCGGGCGUUAUCCGGAUUUAUUGGGUUUAAAGGGAGCGUAGGCCGGAGAUUAAGCGUGUUGUGAAAUGUAGAUGCUCAACAUCUGAACUGCAGCGCGAACUGGUUUCCUUGAGUACGCACAAAGUGGGCGGAAUUCGUGGUGUAGCGGUGAAAUGCUUAGAUAUCACGAAGAACUCCGAUUGCGAAGGCAGCUCACUGGAGCGCAACUGACGCUGAAGCUCGAAAGUGCGGGUAUCGAACAGGAUUAGAUACCCUGGUAGUCCGCACGGUAAACGAUGGAUGCCCGCUGUUGGUCUGAAUAGGUCAGCGGCCAAGCGAAAGCAUUAAGCAUCCCACCUGGGGAGUACGCCGGCAACGGUGAAACUCAAAGGAAUUGACGGGGGCCCG
rnacentral:rRNA from 1 species